rnacentral:rRNA from 1 species
GACGAACGCUGGCGGCGUGCUUAACACAUGCAAGUCGAACGGUGAAGCGCCUUCCUUUUUGGUGGGUGUGGAUGAGUGGCGAACUGGUGAGUAACACGUUAGUAACCUGCCCCCUUCUUCUGGAUAACCGCAUGAAAGUGUGGCUAAUACGGGAUAUUCUGGGUCUGUCGCAUGAUGGGUCUGGGACAGUUAUUGUUUCGGUGGGGGAUGGGUCCGCGGUCUAUCAGCCUGUUGGUGGGGUGAUGGCCUACCAAGGCGGUGACGGGUAGCCGGCCUGAGAGGGUGGGCGGUCACAGAGGGACUGAGACACGGAGCAGACUCCGACGGGAGGCAGCAGUGGGGAAUAUUGCACAAUGGGAGGAAGCCUGAUGCAGCGACGCGGCGGGGGGGAUGGAGGCCUUCGGGUUGUGAACCUCUUUCGCCAGUGAAGCAGGCCUGCCUCGUUUGUGGGUGGGUUGACGGUAGCUGGAUAAGAAGCGCCGGCUAACUACGUG